UAAAGUUUAUGGGGUGAUGAUGGGGUAGACAGCAACUGGAAGAAUGAUGCACUUGCCGUGUGUGGCGGGAGCAGUGUUGGGUAGAUUACUUCUUAAAUGUAAUCUGGUACUGAUUACAAAUUGCACAAGAAAAACUGCAAUAGUGUCCAUGUGCCUGUCCAGUCAUGUGCCACUCAAGACUCCAGACUUCAUCUCCACAUCUCAAUCCUAAAGGCUUUUCCUUAAGCAAGAUUUUUAGCCUAUUCCCCUGGCAGGUGGAGACGUCUGGGUAAUCUUCCUUGCCUACGCCCUUACUUGGGUCUGAAUAAGACAGCGUUGUUUGUCAAUUCAUCCUUAAGGAGUGUAUGUGACGGUUGUGAAAAUGAGACGGUUGCAAUUGAUUUGGUUGCAUCUGGUCUUUUCCUCUUGUUAAACCUACAUCCGCUAGACCAUGACAGCUUUAACAGACUCACAUGCUGACAGUGAUUUUGACGAGUGGCACGGACAUCCGCAGGUAGUGGGGGUUUGUCUGACUUCAGCCUCUGUAAUUAUCACAGCUUCUGUUAUCCCUCAAGCAUGCUGACUGGCAACUAGCAUCCAGAAGCUCUUAAAACAAAUGCUGUACAGCUAGAAUUAAAGAGAUAGUUCCCCGCAAAUAUGCAAAUUUUGUCAUCAUUUAUUCACCCUCAUGGCAUUGUGACUUUCUUUCGAAAAGAAAUGUUAGGCCGAAUGUUAGCCUCAGUCACCAUUCACUUUCA